AUUGAACGCUGGCGGCAGGCCUAACACAUGCAAGUCGAACGGUAACAGGAAGAAGCUUGCUUCUUUGCUGACGAGUGGCGGACGGGUGAGUAAUGUCUGGGAAACUGCCUGAUGGAGGGGGAUAACUACUGGAAACGGUAGCUAAUACCGCAUAACGUCGCAAGACCAAAGAGGGGGACCUUCGGGCCUCUUGCCAUCGGAUGUGCCCAGAUGGGAUUAGCUAGUAGGUGGGGUAACGGCUCACCUAGGCGACGAUCCCUAGCGCGUCUGAGAGGAUGACCAGGCACACUGGAACUGAGACACGGUCCAGACUCCUGCGGGAGGCAGCAGUCGGGAAUAUUGCACAAUGGGCGCAAGCCUGAUGCAGCCAUGCCGCGUGUAUGAAGAAGGCCUUCGGGUUGUAAAGUACUUUCAGCGGGGAGGAAGGGAGUAAAGUUAAUACCUUUGCUCAUUGACGUUACCCGCAGAAGAAGCACCGGCUAACUCCGUG
rnacentral:rRNA from 1 species